GACGGAGGGUGCAAGCGUUGUUCGGAAUUACUGGGCGUAAAGCGCACGUAGGCGGAUUUGUAAGUCAGGGGUGAAAUCCCGGGGCUCAACCUCGGAACUGCCUUUGAUACUGCAAAUCUCGAGUCCGGAAGAGGUGAGUGGAAUUCCUAGUGUAGAGGUGAAAUUCGUAGAUAUUAGGAAGAACACCAGUGGCGAAGGCGGCUUACUGGUCCGGAACUGACGCUGAGGUGCGAAAGCGUGGGGAGCAAACAGG
rnacentral:rRNA from 1 species